rnacentral:rRNA from 1 species
UUGAACGCUGGCGGCAGGCCUAACACAUGCAAGUCGAGCGGAUGAAGGGAGCUUGCUCCUGGAUUCAGCGGCGGACGGGUGAGUAAUGCCUAGGAAUCUGCCUGGUAGUGGGGGAUAACGUCCGGAAACGGGCGCUAAUACCGCAUACGUCCUGAGGGAGAAAGUGGGGGAUCUUCGGACCUCACGCUAUCAGAUGAGCCUAGGUCGGAUUAGCUAGUUGGUGGGGUAAAGGCCUACCAAGGCGACGAUCCGUAACUGGUCUGAGAGGAUGAUCAGUCACACUGGAACUGAGACACGGUCCAGACUCCUACGGGAGGCAGCAGUGGGGAAUAUUGGACAAUGGGCGAAAGCCUGAUCCAGCCAUGCCGCGUGUGUGAAGAAGGUCUUCGGACUGUAAAGCACUUUAAGUUGGGAGGAAGGGCAGUAAGUUAAUACCUUGCUGUUUUGACGUUACCGACAGAAUAAGCACCGGCUAACUUCGUG